rnacentral:rRNA from 1 species
UGGGGAAUAUUGCACAAUGGGCGGAAGCCUGAUGCAGCGACGCCGCGUGAGGGAUGACGGCCUUCGGGUUGUAAACCUCUUUCAGUAGGGAAGAAGCGAGAGUGACGGUACCUGCAGAAGAAGCGCCGGCUAACUACGUGCCAGCAGCCGCGGUAAUACGUAGGGCGCAAGCGUUGUCCGGAAUUAUUGGGCGUAAAGAGCUCGUAGGCGGUUUGUCGCGUCUGCUGUGAAAGCCCGGGGCUCAACCCCGGGUCUGCAGUGGGUACGGGCAGACUAGAGUGCAGUAGGGGAGACUGGAAUUCCUGGUGUAGCGGUGAAAUGCGCAGAUAUCAGGAGGAACACCGAUGGCGAAGGCAGGUCUCUGGGCUGUUACUGACGCUGAGGAGCGAAAGCAUGGGGAGCGAACA